UACGUAGGGUGCGAGCGUUGUCCGGAAUUAUUGGGCGUAAAGAGCUCGUAGGCGGUCUGUCGCGUCGAUCGUGAAAACUUGGGGCUUAACCCUGAGCUUGCGGUCGAUACGGGCAUGACUGGAGUUCGGCAGGGGAGACUGGAAUUCCUGGUGUAGCGGUGAAAUGCGCAGAUAUCAGGAGGAACACCGGUGGCGAAGGCGGGUCUCUGGGCAGUAACUGACGCUGAGGAACGAAAGCGUGGGUAGCGAACAGG
rnacentral:rRNA from 1 species